rnacentral:rRNA from 1 species
GAUGAACGCUGGCGGCGUGCCUAAUACACGCAAGUCGAGCGGAUGGAUUAAGAGCUUGCUCUUAUGAAGUUAGCGGCGGACGGGUGAGUAGCACGUGGGUAACCUGCCCAUAAGACUGGGAUAACUCCGGGAAACCGGGGCUAAUACCGGAUAACAUUUUGAACCGCAUGGUUCGAAAUUGAAAGGCGGCUUCGGCUGUCACUUAUGGAUGGACCCGCGUCGCAUUAGCUAGUUGGUGAGGUAACGGCUCACCAAGGCAACGAUGCGUAGCCGACCUGAGAGGGUGAUCGGCCACACUGGGACUGAGACACGGCCCAGACUCCUACGGGAGGCAGCAGUAGGGAAUCUUCCGCAAUGGACGAAAGUCUGACGGAGCAACGCCGCGUGAGUGAUGAAGGCUUUCGGGUCGUAAAACUCUGUUGUUAGGGAAGAACAAGUGCUAGUUGAAUAAGCUGACACCUUGACGGUACCUAACCAGAAAGCCACGGCUAACUACGUGCCAGCAGCCGCGGUAA